UACGGGGGGGGCAAGCGUUGUUCGGAAUUACUGGGCGUAAAGGGCUCGUAGGCGGCCAACUAAGUCAGACGUGAAAUCCCUCGGCUUAACCGGGGAACUGCCUCUGAUACUGGAUGGCUUGAGAUUGGGAGAGGGAUGCGGAAUUCCAGGUGUAGCGGUGAAAUUCGUAGAUAUUAGGAAGAACACCAGUGGCGAAGGCGGCUCACUGGCCCGGUACUGACGCUGAGGCGCGAAAGCGUGGGGAGCAAACAGG
rnacentral:rRNA from 1 species